rnacentral:rRNA from 1 species
UACGGGGGGGGCAAGCGUUGUUCGGAAUUACUGGGCGUAAAGGGCUCGUAGGCGGCCAACUAAGUCAGACGUGAAAUCCCUCGGCUUAACCGGGGAACUGCGUCUGAUACUGGAUGGCUUGAAUCCGGGAGAGGGAUGCGGAAUUCCAGGUGUAGCGGUGAAAUGCGUAGAUAUCUGGAGGAACACCGGUGGCGAAGGCGGCAUCCUAGACCGGCAUUGACGCUGAGGAGCGAAAGCCAGGGGAGCAAACGGG